rnacentral:rRNA from 1 species
UACGGAGGAUCCAAGCGUUAUCCGGAUUUAUUGGGUUUAAAGGGUGCGUAGGCGGCCUGUUAAGUCAGGGGUGAAAGACGGUAGCUCAACUAUCGCAGUGCCCUUGAUACUGAUGGGCUUGAAUGUACUAGAGGUAGGCGGAAUGUGACAAGUAGCGGUGAAAUGCAUAGAUAUGUCACAGAACACCAAUUGCGAAGGCAGCUUAGUAUGGUAUGAUUGACGCUGAGGCACGAAAGCGUGGGGAUCAAACAGG